UACGUAUGGAGCAAGCGUUAUCCGGAUUUACUGGGUGUAAAGGGAGCGUAGGCGGUCGCAUAAGUCUGAUGUGAAAACCCGCGGCUCAACCGUGGGCCUGCAUUGGAAACUGUGUGACUAGAGUGUCGGAGAGGCAAGUGGAAUUCCCGGUGUAGCGGUGAAAUGCAUAGAUAUCGGGAGGAACACCAGUGGCGAAGGCGGCUUGCUGGACGAUAACUGACGCUGAGACUCGAAAGCGUGGGGAG
rnacentral:rRNA from 1 species